GGGGGUUCACCAAGCUUUGAUACAGCAAAAUAUGCCAAAACUUGGUCUGCAUCACCAAGGCCUUUACUUUGGAACCAAGGCUCUAGCAUCCCAUUCUGGAAAAAUACCAAAUCGCUCCAACGAGAUUUAGGGGUAGCUUCAAGAACAGCUUCAAGAUCAUCAUUCCUAGUGCAAACCAAUAUUGGACCUACAAAAUCAAUAGGAACUGGUUCACCCCUUUUAACCAAAACAUCAUCUCCAUUACCCAAAUCUUGUAAAGCUCUUCCCACACGUCCACCUCCAACUAUGAUAGCAGGAGCAACCAUGUUGCCUGAGGUGGAAAUUGAUGCUCUAAUUUUAAAAUUCUGGUUGAUUCUUGAAAUUGGUUUGUGCCAAAAUGUUGAGUUAGAGAGAGUGACAGUGUUCACCAUUGCUGCUGCUGCCUUCAUGGUAGGCAAAAUCUGGGGCCA
rnacentral:misc_RNA from 1 species